GAGAAGGAAGGUCUGGUCCUUCACUUCAGGGAAGGAAGGCAGGAAGUUUCUGUGAUGAUGUCAGUCUGUUUUUGUUUGACUUUAGGAUGAAAAGCGUGACCUAAAGACUGGUGAGUCGUUUGAGGAAAUCAGCAGACUGCUCUUUCGGUGCUGAUAACUGUAUCUUCUGGCAGGGCACCACAGUGGUGCUCACAGGAGCAGCCCUGGAGAUGAUCUGCACUUACUGGCUGUGAGGAGGCUGGUGGACAUCGGGACAUGCUCCCUGCAGACAGCCCUGUUCUACAUUUGCUCUUGUGGAAGGCAGCCCCUGCUACGGGCAGAGCAAGAGCAGCACAAAGCGCUGCCGAUGGUCCCUUCAGACAUCCUGAGGGAGGGCAAGAGAGUGGCCACAGCAUCAACGGGGAACUUUUCCAAACCUAGGAGCAGAGGCGUACUGGAAGGAGAAGAGCCUUAACAUGUAAGUAAAAAUUAAUAAAUUAUUCUAAAAUGGCUGGACUGAAAUUUCC
rnacentral:lncRNA from 1 species